CUCCGGGUAGUCUAGUUGGUUUAUGGCGUCUGACUGUAAAUCAGAAUGUCGCGUGUUCGAAUCACGCCCGGGAGA
rnacentral:tRNA from 4 species